AUGAUCUCUGUCUUCUGGAUUCUUCUUUGGGAUAGUUUAAAAAGAUUUCUAUAAUGCUGGAAGCUCUGUCACAUAUUUCAAAUACCAGCAGGGUCAUUCAUGGUGGACAGGUUUCAGCAGAGCUUCCAGACUAAGACAGACUAGGAAGAAAGGCCUAGUGAUCGACUUCCAAAAAUUAUCCAUUGAAAAUCCUAUAGAUCACGAUGGAACAUUGUCUGAUAUACUGCUGGAAGAUGAGCACCCUAGAUUGGAAGGUACUAAAAAUACACAGUGGCCUCAAUAAUGAACUCAGAUAAACCAAUGAUUGUGAGGAUGGCACAGAACUGGGCAGCGUUUCAUUCUGUUGUACACGGAGCUGCCACGAGCUGGAGCUGACUCGUCGGCAACUAACAACAGAAAGCCUUCUUAAACAUCCACAGUUAAACACCCUAUCCGACUCAUAGUAUCUGAGGAUACAUUUUUCUCUUAAAACAGGGUGGCCCAGCAUCUUGGUGUUUCAGAAAGAACGGAGGUGCAGUGCGACGGGUUUCUCUUUACAUAUGGCCUUUCUGGUCCUGGGUUUGUAAUUCUGCCAAGAUGAUUUCCUAGGCAACAAUCUUGCAAAGGGAUUGGACAGUUUACUAUGUAAAUAAGGUGCAUAAAAACCCUUAGAGAUAUGGGACAGUUUACUAUGCAAAUGAGGUACCUCAAACCCCAAGCAGAGAUUGGACAAUUUACUGAGCAAAUAAGUGUAUAAAACCCUUGGAGGGGAUUGGUCAGCUACUAAGGAAAUUAGGUGAGUGUGGCCUACCAGGGGGAUAGGUUAGUUCGUGGUUUUGGUGGGAGGAGUAGGCUUAUACAAGAGCUAAUCCCACAGAGGUUGAGGGGGGGCUUCACUACCAUCAAGAAGAGCUGGGAGCAGAGUGAAUCUUUUGAACCUGGGGUCCCUGUGCCGAGAACCUCCUAGACCCAGAAGACAGAGAGCUGUAACACUGCAGAUGGCAUGAGAUGGCACGAGAUGGUAUGAGAUGGCAGUAGUAGUAUGAGCAGUGAACCAGGAGUUUGGCACAAGAUGGCUGUGGCGGGCUUCCCAGUCCACGGAGUGAGGGGGCUACAGUGGUCCUGCUGACUCAUGAUGUGAAAAGCUGAGCGUCUUAGGGCAGGAGGCUUGCUGGCAGAGUGGGAUGCCUCACGGUACUUGUCUGCAAAGCCAAAGAGCUAUAACACUCUGAAGCCGGGCAGAGGUUGAGAGGAGGCUAGCGUGACCAAGAGAAGGGCCUGCUAGCCCAGCUCAGAGUGAGGCCUGGCUGCACAGGUCAGGAUGAGAGCGAGGCCUGCCCACCAGCAUGGGCGAGAAAGCUGAAAGCUUGGAAGCUGUACUGAUUGAAAAACUGUAUCCCGUCUCCUGAGUUGUAGCCUGUUACCCUCCAAGUUGAUCCCAAUCCUGAGUUGUAACCUGUUACUUCCUUAAUAAACUACAUAAUCAUGAGUAUGGUCUGUGAGUUCUGUGUGGCUACUGUAAUGAAUUAUUGAACUCAGCAGAAAAAUAGGGAGUGCCAUGGGGAGGACAGUUGGUGUUAGAAUUGGCAGAAAAGCUAGAGAAUGGAGGUAUGUCUGACCUCCACUUCAUAGGAAUCAGCUUUGGGCUCAUCUUGAUUCUUCUCAUCCCUCCUCCUGAAGUUAAGUAGCUUCUGACACUGCUACCUUACAGGAGGUAACACCCACCAGGUAAAGACACGUCGUCCACACCAACCCCAUGCCACUCUCCUCAACACUUUCCCUUGUUUGUACUCUGCUAAGAGACACACUCGCCGUCCCCAAUUUUAGCUGGGGAAACUGAGGCAACCCCCUCCAAAGUCCCAGAGUGGGUGGCUGACAUGGCAUCAGGUUUGAAUCUAGGUGUUGCUGGGUGGUGCAGUUAAUAUAUCCAGCUACUAAUAAAAAGGCUGGAGGUUUCAGUCCACCCAAAGGUGCCUCGGAAGAAAGUCCUGGCCAUCUACUUCCAAAAAACCAUCCACUGAAAAACCUACGGAGCAUGGUCCAACUCUGACACACGUGGGGUUGCUCUGAGUCGGAGUCGACCUGAUGGUGACUGUUUGGUCUCCGACGCCAGGGAAGGUACAGGAGCUGACGGAAGACUCAGACCCAGCUCGAGUGAGGUGCAAGCAUGACGGGGUGGUGAGCGUCAUCUGGGUUCAGUAGGGAUGCAGAGAAGCAUGACCAGGAGGCAUGGAGGGAAGGUCAGGGCAGCAGGUCACACGCCAAGUAAGAAGACGGCAGAAAAACCCACUCCCUGGGGUGUGACGGUUGAUUUUACCUGUCAGUUUGGCUAAGCUAGGAUUCCCUGGGUUUUGGCUGAACACUAGUCUAGUUACUGCUCCAUAAUGUGAUGUAAUGACUUCACAGAAUGUAAUCUAACGCAAUCAAUCAGUUAAAAGGGGAGUUCUUUAGGAUGUGACUGCCUUCAGACUGUAAAUAGGUAUUUUGGCAGAACUUGCUCUCUCUGCUCUCUUCCUGUCACCUGACCUAUGGAUCCUGUGAAGCCAGCCUGCAGAGAUCUUCAGCCUGUCUCCUGACCUAUAACCCUGUGAUCCAAUUCCCUGAAGUAAAUCUAUGUCUAUAUCUGUAUACAUCUCACUAGUUCUGUUUUUUGAAAGAACACUAAGACACGAGGGCUUACAAAAGGGUGGCUGGGAGCAGACAGUGGGGGUGAAGGAGGGAGGGGAGGAAGUGAAAACAUUGCUGAUUGCGUUUUGACCAAGCUGCUCUGCAGGGAAGGUGGUUAGAGGUCACGCAGAGGCAGAGCCAGGAGAAGGGAUGCCUCCCCCUCUAGCCUGCACCGGCGGCAGCUGCAGGGCAGGAAGUAGAGGAGUCGCCCCCACCCCCAUGGCUCCCCAUUUCACAGAUGAGGAGGUAGAGGCGCCCAGGGCCCUGGCUAAAACCCAGCCUCCCAGUUCUGUUCUCUUCCUGUUGCCUAGUGCUUCCAGCAGGCUCUCAACAGUCAGUUGCUGGCCAGACCAAUGAGGAGCAGGCAUGUACAGACAGUAGAGUGAGAACAAGACAUACAGCUUCCCUCCCCCUCGCCGUGCCCCCGUUCACGAGAGGCACCAUCACUCGGACUCAAAAUGACACAGACUGUCAGCCCUGGAUGUGGAGGAAACACGGGAAAUGCAGUGAGGACGUCUGGGGACAGGACAAAACCAAAACCAAAUCCGUUCCAUCGAGUUGACUCCAACUCAUGGUGAUUCCACGUGUGUCAGAGCACAACUGUGCUCUACAGGGCCUUGCUGGCUGUAAUCUUUACGGGAGGAGUCCACCAGGCCUUUCUUCCGUGGAGCUGCUGGGUGGAUUUGAACCGCCAACCUUUAGGUUAGUAAACGAGUGCAAACUGUACACACUCUCUCGGGGCCAGGACAAAUCCCUCUGAAACAGACAGAUGCCCGUCAGAGGCGAGAGUCUGCGAACAACCUGGGAGGCAGGGAAGGGGUCUAAAAAAAUUAAAACAAAAGUGUUACAAAACAAGUGAUUUUAUCUCAUAUUUUCCCUAAAUUCUGGUUUAGGUUAUAAUGAAACCAUGUGAUCGCUUGUAAAAAGAAAAUACAACAAAUCAAGUUUUAAUGGGAGAUUGUCUUGCUUGAUUCUUACUAAGCAGAAGAGGAACUGAUCGGUUUCCCAGGGGCUUAUCUUAUCUAGUUCAUACCCGCAUCAUUCUCUUUUGGGUUUACUCUAUUCUUUUUCUCAGUCUUUUUAUUCGUAUUUUUUAUGAGUUGGAAAUUUAAUUCCCCUGCUUUCAUUCUUCCAUAUUAAUGGCUAGAAAGUACUUAUACAGCUAAAAAUUUUCCUCGCAUUACUGCUUUAAAUGCAUCCCAUAGGUUCUUAUAACAAAUUUUCUCCUACUAAUCAAAAAAAUCUAUAAUUUUAGUUUGUAUAUUCCCCUCAAUCCAAGAAUUGUUUAGAAGUUUCCUUUUUCUUUUAAAAAACAUUUUCACAUGGAGGUGCCUUUAAAAUUUUUUCUAGAUUUAUCGUAUUCUCAGUGUGUUGCUUGUAGUCUUUCUCCUUUUGAAACUGAUAGCUACUUUGUCUGUGUUUGGAUAUGUGAGUAAUUUUUGUGAUUGUCUGAUGUAGAGCCUCAAAAAAAAAAAAAACCCCAGACCAAACCCAUUGCUGUUGAGUUGAUUCCGACUCAUAGCGACUCUACAGGACAAAGUAGAACUGCCCCAUAGUGUCCAAGGAGCGCCUGGUGGAUUUGAACUGCCAACCUUUUGGUUAGCAGCCGUUUCCAAUGUUGAUGUAGAUACUUAUGAAAGUUUAUUGUCUAAUGUCAGAGCAAAAGGCUCACCAAAUGACCACAGGUGCCUUAAGAAUGUGGUUUGGGUAUCUCAUAUCCUGGCUUAUUUUAUGUCCACUUUUACUAGACCAGCCUUGUACUGCACGUCUGUAUCUGUUUCUUUUCAUAUUGCCUAUAGUUCUUGUUUUGUAAGGGUACUGGCUGUGUUGUCUGAUGUACAGAUAUUCACAAAUAUCAAAACUUGAUUGUAAAUCGAGGCUUCGGCAUUACGAAGAAACUUCUCUGUCACGUAUAAAUGCCUGGUAGCCUGAAUCCCACCUUCUCUGCUGUCAGAACUGCAGUCCUGGCUAUCUCCGAUUCUGCCUGAUGGUACACCUGGUAUGUUGUUUUUAAGUGCCAACCAGUUGGCUCCAAUUCAUAGCGACCCUAUGUACAACAGAAUGAAACACCGCUCAGUCCUGCGCCAUUCUCACAAUGUUGAUAUGUUGGAGCCCAUUGUUGCAGCCAUCAUGUCAAUCCAUCUCAUUGAAGGUCUUCCUCUUUUUCACUGACCCUCUAUGAAGCAUGAUGUCCUUCUCCAGGGACUGGCUCCUCCCGAUAACACAUCCAAAGUACGUGAGACAGUCUCACCAUCCUCGCUUUCUAAUGAGCGUCCUGGCUGUACUUCUUCCAAGACAUAUUUGUUCAUUCUUCUGGGAGUCCAUGGUAACUCAAUAUUAUUCAUCAAUACCACAAUUCAAAGGAUAGCUUCUUCUUCACUCUUCCUUAUUCAUUGUCUAGCUUUCUCAUGCCUACGAGGCGAAUGAAAAUAUUACGGCUUGGGUCAGGCACAUCUUAGUCCACAAUGUGAUAUCUUUGCUUUCUAACACGUUAAAGAGGUCUUUUGCAGAAGAUUUGCUCAAUGCAAUACAUCAUUUCAUUUCUUGACUGCUGCUUCCAUGGACAUUGAUUGUGGAUCAUAGUGAAAUGAAAUCCUUGACAAUUUCAGUAUUUUCUCCGUUUAUCACCAUGUUGCUCGUUGGUAUGGUUGUCAGGAUUUUUGAUUUAUGUUGAGGUGUAAUCCAUACUGAAGGCGGCAGUCUCUGAGUUUCAUCAGUAAGUGCUUCAAAUCUUCUUCACGUUCAGCACGCAAAGUUAUGCUGUCUACGUAUCGCAGGUUGUUAAUGAGUCAUCCUCCAAUCUUGAUGCUGUGUUCUUCUUUACACAGUCCGGUUUCUCAGAUUGUUUGCUCAGCAUACAGGCUGCAUAAGUAUGCUGAAAGGAUGCAACCCCAACACACACCUUUUCUGAUUUUAAACCACUCAGUAUUCCCUCAUCUUGUUUCAACUGCAUCUUGGUCUAUGUACAGGUUCCUAAUGAGCACAAAUAAGUGUUCUGAAAUUCCCAUUCUUCGAAAGGUUAUCCAUAAUUUGUUACGAUCCACACAGUCGAAUGCCUUUGCAUAGUCAAUAAAAAACAGGUAAACAUCUUUCAUGUAGUCUCUGCUUUGUGCCAUGAUCCAUCUGACAUCAGCAAUGAUAUCCCCCGUUCUACAUCCUCAUCUGAAUCCGGCUUGAAUUUCUGGCAGUUCCCUGUCAAUGUACUGCUGCACAGUGUUUUAAUUAUCAUCAGCAAAAUUUUACUUGCGUGUGAUCUUAUUAGAUAAUUUCUGCAUUCUGUUGGAUCACCUUUCUUUGGAAUGGGCACAAAUAUGAUCUCUUCUAGUCAGUUGGCCAGGUAGCUGUCUUCCAAAUUUCCUAGCAUAGACGAGUGAGCACUUCCAGCGCUGCAUCCACUUGUUGAAACAUUUCAAUAGGUAUUCCAUCAAUUCCUAAAGCCUUGUUUUUUGCGAACGUCUUCAGUGCAACUUGGACAUCUUCCUUCAAUACCAUCGGUUCUUGAUCAUAUGCUACCUCCUGAAAUACUAGAAAGUUGACCAUUUCUUAUUGGCAUAGUGACUCUGCACAUUCCUUCCAUCUUCUUUUGAUGCUUCCAGCAUCUUUCAGCUUGAGAAAUGCCCAGUGUGUUCUUUCCUUUUGGUUUUCUAACUCCAGGUCUUUUCACAUGUCAUUAUAUUAUCUUUGUCUUCUCAAGCUGCCCUUUGAAAUCUUCUGUUCAGCUCUUUUACUUCAUCAUUUCUUCCAUUUGCUUUAGCUACUCUAUGUUCAAGAGCAAGUUUCAGAGUCUCUUCUGACAUCCGUUCUGGUCUUUUCUUUCUUUCUUGUCUUUUUAAUGACCUCUUGCUUUCUUCAUGUAUGAUGUCCUUGAUGUCAUUCCACAACUCGUCUGGUCUUUGAUCAUUAGUGCUCAAUGCAUCAAAUCUAUUCUUCAGAUGGUCUCUAAAUUCAGGUGGGAUACACUCAAGGUGGUAUUUUCACUCUCGUGGGCUUGUUUUAAUUUUCUUCAGCUUCAACUUGAACUUGCGUAAGUGUGACUGAUGGUCUGUUCCACAGUUGGCCCAUGGCCUUGUUCCGACCGAUGUUACCGAGAUUCUCCAUUGUCUCUUUCCACAGAUGUAGUCGACUGAUUCCUGUGUAUUCUAUCUGGUGAGGUACACAUGUAUAGUCGCCUUCUAUGUUGUUGAAAAAGGUAUUAUUGCAAUGAUUAAGUCAUCGAAAAAAAGGAAAACUGUCAAUGACAUGGACUGACACAGUAGCUGCAACAAUGGGCUCAAAACAGCAACAACUGUGAGGAUACUGUAGGGGCAGGCAGUGUUUCAUUCUGUUGUACAUAGGGUUGCUAUGACUCAGAGCCAAUACGAUGGCACCUAACAACAACAACAAGUCGAGUUGGUCUUGCAAAGUUCUAUCAUGUGAUCUCUGGCGUUGUUUCUAUCAUCAAGGUCCUAUUUUCCAACUACUGAUCCUUCUUCUUUGUUUCCAACUUUUGCAUUCCAAACUCCAGCAAUUAUCAAUGCACCCUGACUGCAUGUUUGAUCUAUUUCAGGCUGCAAAAGCUGGUAAAAAUCUUCAAUUUCUUCAUCUUUGGCCCUAGGGGUUGGUGCGUAAAUUUGAAGAAUACUUGUAUUAACUGGUCUUCCUUGUAGGCGUUAUAGAUAUCCUAUCACUGAUAGCGAUGUACUUCAGGAUAGAUCUUGGAAUGUCCUUUCUGACUAUGAAUGUGACACCAUUCUUCUUCCAUUUGUUAUUCCCAGCAGGGCAGACCACAUUCUUCCCCAAUUUAAAAUGGCCAAUACCAGUCCGUUUUAGCUCACUAAUGCCCGGGAUAUCGAUCUUUACAUGUUCCAUUUCAUUUUUGACUUCUAAUUUUCCUAGAUUCACACUUCGUACAUUCCACAUUCCGAUUAUUAAUGGAUGUGUGCAGCUGUUUCUUCUUAUUUUGGCUUGUGCUACAUCAGCAAAUGAAGGUCCCGAAAGCUUGACUCCGUCCACGUCAUAAAAGUUGACUCUACUUUGAGGGGGCAGCUCUUCCCCAGUCAUCUUUUGAGUGCCGUCCAACCUGAGGGGAUCAUCUUCUGGCACUAUAUUAAGAAAAUGUUCUGCUGCUAUUCAUAAGGUUUUUCACUGGCCAAUUUUUUUUUUAGAAGUAGACUGCCAGGUCCUUCUUCCUAGUCUGUCUUAGUCUGGAAGCUGCGCUGAAACCUGUCCACCAUGGGUUACCCUGCUAGUAUUUGAAAUACCAGUGGUAUAGCUUCCAGCAACACAGCAACAUGCAAGUAACCACAGUAUGACAAACUGACAGACGAGUGUAUUUUCUACACCUGGCAUACCCUUUAUAUUUUGUUUUCUGAACCACUGCGCUUUGAGUCUCAAGUAUACAGCACGCAGUUAACCUUGCUUUGUGGGCCAAGCUGAAAAUCCUGUUCUUUUGAUUGGCAAAUUACACUGUUUUAAAUCUCCAGGACCCACUGCCUUCUGAGCCUCAGGCUGUCACCAUCCUUCCUCCACCCACCUGCUAACCUCUCACCCUGCACCAGGUUCACCUCCAUCUCUGACUGAGGGUGAGUGGAGCAACCCUUCAGGUCACUUUACAUGACUUCCUGAAAUCCUGCACCUUUUGCAAGAAUUUCAGCCUUACUUUGCAUUGCACAGGGACGGUGGGAUGAAUCCAGGAGAGAGAAUGACUGGUGGGUGGAAAGGAGCCAGCCUUACACUAGCCACGGAGGGGAGUUUCAGUGGAGACUUGUUUUGUAAGUGGUCAGCUCAUCAUGAAUGUUCUCAUCUUGGGAUGUCGUUUGCUUCCCUAUACAACUCCCAAAUUGCAUGCAGUUCGAUACCAAUGAUGAGAAUGGUAAGGACAUCUGGUGUUUUCUAUGCAGCAAAGCUGAACAUCUACACAGGUAAGGAAAGACUCCUUGGGGUGGGCAGGAGGGAGGGUCACUCCCACAUCUCAGUGAGCCAAUCCUUUAAAAAAAUCAACCUCUCCCCCUCUCCCUAUACACACACACACACACACACACACACACACACACACACACACGGAGCCCUAGUGGCACAAUGGUUAAGUACUCGGUUGCUAACCAAAAGAUUGGUGGUUCAAACCCACCAGUCACUUUAUGGGAUCAGAUCACCCAGUGAUCUGAUCCCAUAAAGAUUACAGCCUAGAAAAUCCUAUGGGGUAGUGGGACUCUGUCACAUGGGGUUGCCAAGAAGUAGAAUUGACUAGAUGGCAAACAAUAACAACAUAUGCAUAUAUCUCACUGGUUCUGUUUCUCUAGAGAACUUUGACUAAAACAAGACCCCUGAGCCUCACCUAGAGUUUGCCACUCUCCACCAGCACUGCAACCCCAGGCAGGUCCAACCCCCAUUCCACCCGUCAUCUGACUGCCUUGUCCUGUCAGGUGCAGUAAAGUCAAAGGGUAAAGGAAGAGAGACCAGCCCCAAUGCUGGUGACUGGAGAGGCACAGAAGAGAAAAUCCCUGUUGAAAGGCACCUUGUCGUACAGGGUCCCUGGGUGGCACAAAUGGUUUGUGCUCAACUACUAACCUAAAGGUUGUAGUUCUAACCCACCCAGCAGUGCUGUAGAAGACAGACCUGAUGAUCUGCUUCUGUAUAGAUUGGUGUUGUUAUUGUGUACCUUUGAGUCAAUUCUGAUGCACAGCGACCCCAUGUGACAGAGUGGAACUGCCCCAUAGGGUUUCCUCGGCUAUAACCUUUAUAGGAGCAGAUUGCCAGGUCUUUGCAGUCAAGAAAAUCCUAUGGAACAGUUCGACUCUGUCAUGCAUGAGCUUGCUAUGAGUUGGAACUGACUUGAUGGCAACGAGGUAUACCUCAUUGCAGUGCAGCCUCCUAGCCCUAAGAAGCAAGGGCUUGCCUGCCUAUUGAGCAGAUGGGGAAACUGAGCCCUGGCAAGGGAGGGCCCUAUGUUCCAACGUGCAAGUUGGUGCUCUGACUACCAACUGGGCUGCCAGACACUGCACACCCCUAUGCUGGGUCUCGGGCAGUGUACGCACUGCACCAGCUGGUAUGGGUGGUGCAGGGGCGGAACGGUGGUGGGAAACCUUUCAAAGGAAGAGACGACAGGAUAUGGUGACAGUGAGCAUGCAGAUUGGGAGGAAAGCACCCGAGAGCACUCGCUAUGGUGUGCCGACCAAAAUGGGGAAGUAGGGCUUGGCGGGGGUGGGGAGGCAAUCCCCCAAGAACAGUGGACAUAACAUACUUCAUCAAGGUGGUGGGAGUUUGUUCAUGUUAGUGAGUUUCUUAAACUUUAAAAAUCUGCAUUUUUCUCCUUUAUCAAAUUGUGGUAAAUAUCGUUGAUGGUUGCUGUUAAGUUGAUUCUGACUCAUGGUGACCUCGUGUGCAGAGUAGAACUGUGCUCCACAGGGUUUUCAAGAUUGUGAACUCUCAGAAGCAGACUGCCAGGCCUGUCUGCCGAGGUGCCUCUGGGUGGGUUUGAAUCGCUAACCUUCUGGUCAACAGGCAAGUGCAUACACCAGACUCCUCUGCUCUAAACAUGCAGCAGAAAUACCAGGCAGAUAAAUGAACACCCUCUCUCCCUUAACACAGGCUGGUAAAAUGCCAGGGCAUUUGGAAAAGGUGGCCAGUGUGGCCUUUAGCUUUUAAUCAACUUUCUUCAAAGCCCAAUGAGGGUUUCUUGGUGCUUAAAAUACACCCCAUAAUUUUGCUCUUCCCUUAGACCCAGCGUUCCAAAAAUACAACCUCCCCGUGGUCUGAAAUAGCCUGAAGCACUGCAGGGCUUUGUGGCUCUGUGUGCUGAUGUCGCCAGCCUGGGAGGCAGGCACGGGGUCUCUGGCGAGAAGGAGCAGGGCCAUGAAGACCCGAAGUGGGGGGACACUGGGAGGUCCCAGCAGGACUGCAUCUUCCACCUAGGCCAGCUGCCCUUGCCUUCAGGUGACUGUCUCCUCCCUGGUGUUCCAUGGUUCCUUAGUUACUCUCUGAUCUCUCCAUCAUCCCUCUCGUCCUUGGCACUCCCUUUUGCCCUGGUCUGGUCCUGCUUUGCUGACUGGUGCAGUCUCAUGGUCAUCACCCCUGAUGGGUUCCUCUCUGUGGGAAGUGGCCCAGGCUGGCCUGUCCUUGAUGUUGGGGAGAGGCACUUCCGGCGCCCCUUGUUCGUCAUCACGCUGCUCCCCUGCUGGGCAGGGGCUGGGAACACUGCUGCAUCUGCCUGGUCAUGCUUCCCCCCCAGCUGCUGCCCCCACGGCUGUGAGCACCUGGUCACCCCCCAUGCACACACGGUAGCCUCUCUCCCCGGCUCAUGGAAAACUCAUGGAAAACUGAAUUCAGCUCUGUUAAGGGAGGUCUUGGGUAGGGGGUCGGGGGCAUGUGGGGCCUUGCUUGCCAGCUCCUCAUUCUGCUGUGCCUCUGGCUGGCCCUGUACUCGACAGGCAGGGCGCAGGUGGCCUCUGUACCCAGGGGUGCAGCUGGAAACUUUCUGAGGGUUGGGCCUGGGGACAUCCACCCCAUGACAGCGCAAGAGAGACAAGACGGGGGCCAUGACCCAGCUGAGCCAAGCCUGCUGUAAAACCACUUCCUGGCCGCCUGUGGGCACAGAUAGAGAACAAGACAGAGCAAACUGUGCACAGAGCCGCAGGCAAACGGCCCUGCAGUGCCUCCUGGGACCUAUAGAUCCAACUCCUGCUUUGCCAAGCCCCCAAACAGACGUCCUGUGGGUGGAUGUGUGCUUGGGAGAAAAGACGCAGAGACACAGGGGAAGACAAGUGCCAUGUGAAGACGCCUCUACAAGCCAAGGGAUGCCAAGGAUCACCGGGGGCCACUGGAAGAUAGGAGAAAGGAAUGGAAUGGUUCUUCUCUCAGAGCCUCAGAAGAAAUCAACAACCUGAUUUGGAAUCUCAGCCUCCCGAACUGUGAAAAAAUAAAUUCCUGUAAAAAAAUAAAUUCCUGUUCUUUAAAGCUCCCCCGCACUUUGCAGUAUAUUGUACGGACACCCCAGAGACUGAGACAAAGGGUCUGGGUUGGAGGUGAGGAUCCCGUGGGGCCCCGAGGAAACUGAGGCUCAGGCCAGGGUCUGUGUGGGGUCGAAGGACAGGCUUCAACCAAGUCACAGGACAGGCUCCCUCUGGGCCCAAGGUGGGCUAGGCAGCAGCUAGCACCAAGCCCCUUCCCCUGGGCUCUGCUGGUCUUAAGUGGGUUGGUCUGAGUGACCUUGGCUACGUCGAGCCGCGGCCCCCAGCCUCUCUCCCCCUGGUAAAACAGCCCACCAAGACGGACCCUUGUUUCACUUCUGCUUUCAAAAUGAAGCCCUGUGUGGGAAUAGGACCGCUGUGGGGUUUGAGUCUUAGGUCAGAAGCGCCCCGACCCAGCCUCUUUCUGGGAGGAGCUCAGGUCCAAGGGACCAUGGAGAGGAACACACUCUCUGGGGGACUGUGUGGCAAGCUCCCUCCGAGUGGCCAAUGACUUAGGCUGCUCUGCUGAUAGUUUCCGGGUUCUUGGGGGUCUAGGGCAGGUAGCGCCCUAGGGAACCUGCUUUCUGGACCCCUGGAGCUUCAGGAGCGAAACAACCAAACCCACUGCCAUGGAGUUGACCUGACUCAGCAACCCCAUGUGUGUCAGAGUAGAACUGUGCUCCACAGGGUUUUCAGUAGCUGCAUUUUCGGAAGUGCCUUUCUUCAGAGGUGCCCCUGGGGGGACUCAAACCUCCAAGCUUUUGGUUAGUAGUGGUGUGCUUAACAGACUGCACCACCAACGGACUCCAGCUAAACAACAAUCCCUGAAAACACUGUUUCCAGGAUGGCAAGCAGUCGGGAGGAACGCAGCUCUCGGGUGUCAUGGAUUAAACUGUGUCCUCCAAAAACGUGUGGAAUCCUAACGCCUAUACCUAUGCGAUAAGGAGCCCUGGUAGCACAAUGGUUAAAGUGCUUGGCUGCUAACUGAGAGGUCGGUGGUUAGAACCCAUCAGCCGCUCUGAGGGAGAAAGAUGAGGCAAUUUGCUUCUAUAAAGAUUUACAGCCUUGGAAACCCUAUGGGACAGCUCUACUCUGUCCUCUAGAGUCACUACGAGUCAGAACCAACAUAACAGGACACAACAACACACCUAUGAGCGGAGCCCCUGGGUGGCAUAAAUGGUUAAGUGCUCAGCUGCUACCUGAAAGGCUGAUGGUCUGAACCCACCCAGAGGUGCUGCAGAAGACAGGCCUGGUGAUCUGCUUCUGAAAGGUCACAGCUUUGAAAACCCUAUGGUGCCAUCUUACUCUGCUCAUAGGUGCUGCCAUGAGUAGGAAGUGACUCAGCGGUAACUAACAGCAGCAACAUACCUGUGGAUGUGAUCCCAUCUGGAAACAGGCUUUCUUUGUUAUGUUAAUGAGAUCAGAUCAGUGUAGCCCUGUCUUAGGCCAAUUACUUUCCAGACAUAAAAGAGCAGAUUAGGCACAGAAGCAAGCAAGCACAAGUGGGGGAAGGUACAUGCCAGGUGGCUAUCUCUAAGGAGCAGAAGGACCUUCUCCCAGAGCUAACAGAGAGGCUUCCCCCUAGAGCUGGUACCCUAAAUUCAGACUUCUAGUCUCCUAAACUGUGAGGAAAUAAAUUUGUUCUUUUAAGCUACCCAGAGAAACCAAACCCACUGUCACUGAGUCAAUUCCGACUCACAGCGACCCUGUACAACAGGUAGAGCUGCCCCAUAGGGUUUCCAAGUAGCAGCUGGUAGAUUUGAACAGCCGACCUUUUUGGUCAGCAGCUGAGCACCAGGGCUACAAUUCUGUUAUAACAGCACUAAGAAACUAAGACAUGGUGCGUCCAUGGGCGGGAGGGCAGCCCCAGCCCAGCUUCUCCACCCUUGGGAACCAGGUACCAGCCCAGUUGCCAUCAGCUGACCCUUCAGGCUCUGCGAGGUACCCCUUCCUGUUUUCUGGUGAGGGUUGCACAGGGAGGCAGCAGCCUCCGCCUGAGCGUCCACUGUGUCUGGGCCUCACCACAAUCAACUUCUCUUUUUGGGAGCUGAAAAAAGUCCCAGAUGCUGGGGGCUGUGCAGAGCUCCACAGAAACUUCCUCAAGGACACUGAGAGACAGCGCGGCAGGGCUCGGGCGUACCGGGUCUGUGGCUGCCUGUGGUAUGGCCUGGGCUGGUCAGUUGCAGCAGUGAAUUGUAUCCCCCAGAAGGACAUGUCCAUGUCCAAAUCCCCAGAAGCCAUGAGCAGGACCUUGUUUGGAGAAAGGGUCUUUGCAUGUGAUCAAGUUGAGGACAUACUGGAUUAGAAACCUGUUGCUGUCAAGUCUAUUUUGACUCAUGGUGACCCCAUGUGCUACAAAGUAGAACUGCUCCACAGAGUUGGCUGUAAUCAUUAAGGGCAGCAGACUUCCAGGUCUUUCUUCCUCAGUGCCACUGGGUUGGUUCGAAUCGUCACCUUUUAAGUUAGGAGUCGGAUGCCAAUCGUUUGCACCACCCAGAGACCUUACUGGAGUAGGGUGGGCCCUAAAUCCGAAGACCAGUGUCCUUAUAAGAGACAGAGAGAAGACACAGCUACAGAGACUACAGAGAAGACGGAGAUGUGAAGACAAAGCCAGAGACUGGAGUGAUGGGACCACAAGCCCAGGAAUGCCUGGAGCUACCAGAAAAUGGGAGUGGCAAGGAAGGCUCCUACCCUAGAUUUUCCAGAGGGAGCGUGGCCCUGCUGACACCCUGAUUUCAGACUUCCGGUCUCCAGAAUGGUGAGAGAAUAAAUUCCUGUUGUCGUAAGCCAGGGUUUGUGGUCACUUGCUACGGCAGCCACAGGAAGUUAAUACUCCGGCACACCUCCUGGGGCUUGGUUUUCUCAUCUGUAUAAUGAGCAGGGCUGUUAUGAGGCCAGAGAGGAUGGGUCAAGACCGUGGGACCCAAAGCCUGACUCCCAGCAAGGCAGAGGGCAUGAGAACUAAUAAUUCUCGUUAUCAGAAAGCGAAGCUUGGGCCAUCUCAGAAUUGCUGGAGCUUACUUCUGACAACUUCUAAACUGUGCGUACCCGAGGUAAACAACACUAGGUCUUGUGAGGGCUAUGAGUUAUGACGCUAAGGCAGCGGUUCUCACUGGGGGUGAUUCUGCCUUCAGGGGACCUUGGGCAAUGUUUGGAGACAUUUUUUGCUUAUCGUAUUUGGGUAGGGGGGAAGCUACUGGCCCUGAGUGGGUGGAGGCCAGGUACAUUGCUCAACACCCUAGAGUUCACAGGAUGGCCCCCACCACUGAGAAUGUUCUGGAACCAAACAUCAGCAAUGUCAAGGUUGGGAACUUGGAUAAAGACUUUUGAGCUGCGCUUGCUGGCUCCUUGAGCUCAGAUCUGCUCUCCUAUAGUCAGGAAGCAUGGCUGCCCUGGUCAGAGACUAAGAUCAUGUGUCCCCAACCACUGUCCCUCAGAGGGGUGAGUGGGCCGUGCAUGGAGUCUGUGCCAUGGGUGUGCAGGAGACCAAGGAGGAACUGCGUGGUUCUGGGAGAGCACGGCCAGGAAGCAUCGGACCAGAUUGGAGAUGCCAAAGGAAGAAGGGUCUUGGGACCCUCAGCACUCGGAAUAGCUCUGAAGGAGUGGUGCUCAUCUGCCCUCCCAGGGGACACUGGGCAAUGUCUGGGGACAUUUGUGGUUGCCAUGACUUGGGGGAGGAUGCUACUGGCAUCGAGUGGGUGGAGGCCAGGGAUGCUGCUCAACACCCUACAGUGCACAGGACAACCCCCACCACAGAGAAUGUUCCAGAACCAAAUGUCCACAGUGCCAACGCUGAGAAACCCUGCUCUGAGCUAAAACCACCUUAGCCCUUUCAAAACUGUCACCGCAGGAGGUGUGCUCACUGUACUGGGUUUGGAAUUCAGUGUGGGUACCGCCCCUCAAGUAGGUCAUGAACUGCAGGGAAUAUGACCACGUAGUGUCUUCCUGGAGAGCCCGAAGUACACCAGGUAAGCACACCCUUCUGACUCAUGGGUGCAGACGCCCUCCUUGGGGUGACUAACGGUCCUCAAUGGCAGUCAGGAGAAUGUACCAGAAUCCCUGAGAGCAGCUCUGAAGGGAGGAAAAGGAGGGGAUGCUGUAUCCGCAUCACUGGAGUAAUCAUAAGCCCCAUGAAAGGGUGGUAACACCUAAACCCGCCAGCUGUUACUCUGUGGGUACUACAGAGGAUGGAACGGCUCCCCCUAAGGAUAGGUCCAUGUCCUGAUCCCUGGAACCUGUGAUGGUGACUUUGUUUGGAAAAAGGGUCUCUGCUGCUGUGAUCAAGUUGAGGAGCUUGAGAUGACAUUAUUCUAGGAUCAUCUAAACCCAACAACAAGUGUUCUCAUAAGAGGGAACAGGAAAAGACACAGACACAGAAGAGGAAGCCAUGUGACGACGGAGGCAGAGACUAGAGUGAUGUGGCCUUAAGCCCAGGAACACCUGGAGCCACCAGAAACUGGGAGAGACAAGGAUCAUCUACUAGAGCCUCGAGGAAAAUGCGUCCCUCCUGACACCUUGAUUUUGGACUUCUGGUCUCCGGAGCUGAGAGAAUAAAUUUCUGUUUUUAUAGCCAGUUGCCAUCGAGUCGACUCUGACUCAUGGAAACCUAACCUGUUCCUAUUUGUGGUAGCAAAUAAAUGAAAAAAAAAAAAAAAAAA